AAAAGAUGCAACAGGAACGAGUCACCCGAUGGUUCUGAUUCAGAAUCCCAACUGGGAUUCUCCUUUUUGCCACUGCAAACCCUAAAAUAUGUAUAAAUUUUGAGUUAUGAGGUUGGAUGAGUUCAAGGUAUUGUGAAUUUGUGACCCAUAUACAAAUGAGAGAUUUAACUGGUUUUCUCUGAGAUAUGGUGGAGCUCAGUCUGAUGGCUUCACAUGGGUACGCUUCUGUCCUUGUUUUUCACCAGAAUCAAGGCAUGUGCAAGGUCUCAAAGUUAACAAGGUCAGGCUCCCUUAAUGCAAGGCUGCACCAGAGUGAGGACCUAAGGAAACACUUAAGUUGUUUGUCAGACACUAACCAUUUUUUUCAGAAUUGACUCAAGUAUGAGAAGACACAGUAGUCAAUUUGCAAGGUACUCACCUGAGCUCUAUACUCUUCAGCGUCAGGAUUGCUGAACAUAUAAGACAUGAAAAGAUCCUGCAGUUCUUUAUGUCCAGAUUAAGUGAAGCAGAAUGAGGCUGGAUAGCAGUGAACCAAGAGCUAAUAUGGACACGACUUCUUUGAAUCUUGAAACUGUGAGAAUUGCUCCUCUAACAAGUCCUGAGAAAAUCAAACUCAAGCCAUCAUCACAAAAGAAGACCAAUGAGAAAACAGGUACAAAGAUCUCAUUGCGAUAGGCCCUUCUUGGACACAUUUGAAAAUCUUCUGACCAUAAUGAUAGAAAGGAGGCGCAAUGCGAAAAAAGCUGUCCUUUUGCUCAAGAAAUCUGGUUCCGAACUUCCUCAGCUCCUGAAUAAGUUGUCAGUCAGAAUUGCCUGGACUGGUAUCGGUGUUCUCUUGUCUGUCAUUGUUAAAUUAGCAUGUGGGAGGGGUGUUGCUUUCUGGGCUUCCAAAACCGGCUUUGGGUUCGGAUUGGUUUGGUUAUCUUGGGCAGUAAGUGGGCUUAGAGACACAGUUAUUUAUAUCCGCAAGAAUUUUAGAAAAAUAGGUUUGGAAGAAGAGGAAAUGAUGAGCAAACUGGAUAGAAGUGUGAAUGAAGUUUUUGUCAUAGCUGCGCUUUUAAUGACAGUGGCAUUCAUAGAGCUAUGUAAAGCAUUGCUUUCUGGAUUUCCAAACUCCGCCUUGGGUUUGGAUUGGGUUGGCUAUCUAGGCAUUAAGUGAGCUUAGAGAAACAGUUAUUUAUAUUUGCAAGAAUUCGAGCAAAUUAAGAUUCGGAAGAAGAGGAAAUGAUGAGCAAUCCGGGAACCAUCCCUCAAGGUCAUGAGUUCAGACUCUACCUGAUUACCAGUCAACUAAAUUUUGUGUAGGUUAAUCUUUUUUCCAAUUGAAGUGUUAUAUUGAGAGGUGGAUUUCUUAGCUGACUUCUGAAACAAAAAACUUGCAGCACAUAAUACAUUUUCUUGCAUGGAAAUAAAACUUCCUUUUAUUUCA